CGUACGGGUGAGUAUUUUUGUAUUUUUUUACCUUUGAGUUUAGUUAAUAUAUUUAGAAUCUUUCUAGUUUUUAAAUAUAAAUGCUAAAUAAAUUUUUUGAAAAAAUUUUAUCAAAAACAAAAGAUAAAAAUUAUUUUAUUGCUUAAAGAUAAAAAUACAAAAGAAUUAGGUAGUUGGUAGGUUUAAGCUUACCAAGCCAAUGAUUCUUAGUUGGUCUGAGAGGAUGAUCAACCACACUGGAACUGAAGCAAGGUCCAGACUUUUUAAGGCAGCAGUGAGGAAUUUUGGACAAUGGGCGAAAGCUUGAUCCAGCAAUGUCACGUGAGAGAGUAAGGAAGGUUACAUCACUGUAAAUCUCUUUCGUCAAGUAAGAUAAUGACUUUUCUUGAAAAAGAAGCCCCGGCUAACUUCGUGCCAGCAGCCGCGGUAAUACGAAGGGGGCAAGUGUUAUUCUGUUAGAUUGGGCGUAAAGGGUUCGUAGACUAUUAAUUUAGAUCUAUUGUAAAAUCUUAAAGCUUAACUUUAAGUUUAUAUAGAUACAAAUUAAUUUGAGUUGGGCAGAGGUACAUGGUACUUUUAAUGUAAGGUUAAAAUCUUGUGAUAUUAAAAGGAACGCCAAGAUGUGAAAACAAUUAUCUUUGUGAAAACUGACGUUGAAGGACGAAAGCAUGGGUAGCAAACUGGAUAGAUACCCAGGUAGUCCAUGCUGUCAAAGAUGAGUAUUAAAUUUUUAUUUUUUAGAUAAAAAAUAGGAAAAGCUAACGUUUUAAAUACUCCGCCUGGGGAGUAUGAUCGCAAGAUUUAAACUCAAAGGAAUUGGCGGGAGUUUGUACGAGCGGUGGAGCAUGUGGUUUAAUUCGAUAAUCCGCGAGGAACCUUACC
rnacentral:rRNA from 1 species